rnacentral:rRNA from 1 species
AUACGAAGGGUGCAAGCGUUGUUCGGAUUUACUGGGCGUAAAGAGAUCGUAGGUGGUUUAUUAAGUCGGAUGUGAAAUCCCGGGGCUCAACCUCGGAACUGCAUUCGAUACUGGUAGACUAGAGUUUGGGAGGGGUAAGCGGAAUUCCGUGUGUAGCAGUGAAAUGCGUAGAUAUACGGAGGAACACCUGAGGCGAAGGCGGCUUACUGGACCAAUACUGACACUGAGGAUCGAAAGCGUGGGUAGCAAACAGGAUUAGAAACCCCAGUAGUCC